rnacentral:rRNA from 1 species
UAGGGAAUCUUCCGCAAUGGACGCAAGUCUGACGGAGCAACGCCGCGUGAGUGAUGAAGGUUUUCGGAUCGUAAAGCUCUGUUGCCAGGGAAGAACGCCUUGGAGAGUAACUGCUCCGAGGGUGACGGUACCUGAGAAGAAAGCCCCGGCUAACUACGUGCCAGCAGCCGCGGUAAUACGUAGGGGGCAAGCGUUGUCCGGAAUUAUUGGGCGUAAAGCGCGCGCAGGCGGUUUUUUAAGUCUGGUGUUUAAGCCCGGGGCUCAACCCCGGUUCGCACUGGAAACUGGAAGACUGGAGUGCAGGAGAGGAAAGCGGAAUUCCACGUGUAGCGGUGAAAUGCGUAGAGAUGUGGAGGAACACCAGUGGCGAAGGCGGCUUUCUGGACUGUAACUGACGCUGAGGCGCGAAAGCGUGGGGAGCAAACAGGAUUAGAUACCCUGGUAGUCCACGCCGUAAACGAUGAGUGCUAGGUGUUAGGGGUUUCGAUACCCUUGGUGCCGAAGUAAACACAGUAAGCACUCCGCCUGGGGAGUACGCUCGCAAGAGUG